GACGAGGCUCUUGUCGGCAAUGGCGCCGGGCUGGGCAAUAGCGAAAACGACGUCCAUGACGCUGCCGUCCAUCCGCGCCACUCUGGUUUCUU
rnacentral:sRNA from 1 species